rnacentral:rRNA from 1 species
UACGAAGGGGGCUAGCGUUGCUCGGAAUCACUGGGCGUAAAGCGUGCGUAGGUGGUUUGUUAAGUCUGUUGUGAAAGCCCCGGGCUCAACCUGGGAAUGGCAAUGGAUACUGGCAAGCUAGAGUGCGGUAGAGGGUAGUGGAAUUCCCGGGUGUAGCGGUGAAAUGCGUAGAGAUCGGGAGGAACACCAGUGGCGAAGGCGGCUACCUGGACCAGCACUGACACUGAGGCACGGAAAGCGUGGGGAGCAAACAGG